UAAGAAACCAACAUCUACCAGAAUAGUCGAUCUCUACGGGCGAAACGAACAAAAGUCCAAGUGGUAUUGAAAAGAGGCAGGUAGGUCUUUCUGCACAACGGACGGCGAGCGGCCUAGGGCCGCUUUAGAACUAACGACAACGGCGACGACCUACUCUAGUGGUAUCGGCUUCUCGUUUGUCGAGCUAACUAGAGGAAGCUGGAGAGAGGUCUGCCUAGAUUUAAUAUCGAACCAACGACGACGCCCCACACUAGGUGUAGAGGUUUCUCGUUUGUUGUUCAGCUAAGUAGAAGUUGGAAAGCGGUCCAAGCAGUAGAGGGAAUUAAAGUAAAUCUAGCAGCCCGUCCCACACUGAGGAGCUAAGGUAGUGUUUAGAACUUACGUAAGACCGGACUAAGGCGUUGACGAGUGUCUAGAUCUCUCCAUUCCUUCCUACUAACUCUCUUACCGAUGAUUGUGGAAAAGAAAGAGUCGUUCUAAUUGUAGUAGAAGAGACCAUUCGCGAACGGACCCACACUCUAUUGAGGAUGUACCUAAAAUGUAAGCGAAACGAACUAUGAUAGUGCUUCUCAAAGAGUCUCCUUGUUUUUUAACGGUCACCACCCAUACCUCUAUAAAUGUCCCGCCACGUAUUACCCCUUCUCUAACGACACUUCUCCGAAGUAGUAAAGGUUCCUGAACUACUAGUCGUUAAAGUUUUACUUAAGGCAUUGGAGUCGUUCCAGAGAGUGUUUUUACAAUAUGCCAAUUAACCGAUGACGAUACUUAGUGCCUCAUUUAUAUACUUUGUGUUGCCCCUUGAACACAAACGAUUUUACUACCUCGCUGAUGAGACGAAACUUAUAUACGUCCCGCCUUCGGAACUCUUUAUGUAGCGUCUGCUUGGUACAUCUGAACUGACCGGGUGUACAAUAUUUUAGUAAGUUCCCUAGACACUGCCGAAUUUAGUGGAAGUGUUACGUGUCCUUUUUCGUUAAAAGGUAGACCUGAACUUCGGAAGCUUAUAUAACGACCCAUUUUUGUACUGAGGGUUCUAAAGUCCAAAACUAAACAGACAACUAAGUUGUCUUCCUUACCUGGGCUAUCGCUACUCUUCUCCUUGUGAACUCAUGUACGGUGGUCUUAUGUAUCUGUCGCCGUAGUAUAGUUUGUUCAAACUGCACAAGUCAAACCCGUCGUAAUAAUAUUCUUACUACCUGCCUGUACCCCCAGGAAUGGCAAUAAGACUUUACAGAGGGUUGGUCAAAUAACUUAUACAUUCACUUUUGACCUUCUUUUCCAACCUCUUUAACAGCCUCGUAAGUAGUAUGCUCUACCUAUAGGAUGUUCACGUCCGUACACAACUCUAUCGUAAAUCUACGAACCUUCGGCUAGCUUUGUUUUCCGGAUCAUAUCUCCUUUAAUAUACACUUGACCCCAAUUCUGUCAUUACAGCGGCGGAGGACUAGUAUUUGGAUAGAGCAAACAAGACUUAAGAGUCAGUUCGAGGUCGGGACGAGGACUAGUCGGUUGUCUGGAUUGACUUCGACUCUAGUUCUGUUUAGAACGACUUCGACUCUAGUUCUGUCUGGAUUGACGUGGACUUUAAUUCUGUUAUAAUAGUCCCGGAGGACUAGACAGGCCAGAACUAAGAGGCAAUACGAGGUUGUGACGUGGACUAAUGAGUUAUCUGGAUUAACUUCGACGCUAACUCUGUUAUUACAGUAACGGAGAACUACUAUUUAGAUUCCCUAUUCAUAUAAAAACCAGGGAGUUGAAAUGACUAUUAUAUUUUUACCAGGGAGUUGAAGUUUUGGUC
rnacentral:rRNA from 1 species